GGGGGGGGGGGGGGUGCUGGUGAGAGACAGUGACGCUAUUCCCCAGCCCCAUCCCAGCCCCCACCUCUCUCCUGGACAGCCACCCUUUCCCAGAAUUCCUACUGAACCUUGUCACUCUUGUGGCCCCUGCCUUCCCUCCACCCCCAACUUUCUCCAUCAGCCACACAGGUCCUUCCUCGUCCCGGUGUCCUCAGCUCAGGCGUCUGCCUCUGCUGCUCGCCCCUCACCAAGCGGCAGCACCCGGUGACCCUCAGGCUCUGCUCUGGCAGUCCCCCCACCCUGGAGAAGCCUUCCUGGCUGGUCUAAAGCCGCCUCCCAGCCCCCCCCUCCACCCUACCACCCUCCUGGCUUCUCCUGUAGAUAGGGCUGGGGUGCUUUCUGAAUUCCCAGGAGAGCAAGCCUGCACCCUGCCCCCCACAGUGUGCCCAGAGGGGGCAGCCAACCAAUCCUGAGGGGGUGGGGGCCAUCUUGGGCACUCCUCCUGUGGGGAACAUAAGUCAAGCAGAGACUUAGUUUUGGGGAUACUGGGGGGGCAUUGAACAGUGUUCCCCUCAAAUUUGUGUCCACUGGGGACCUGUGAAAGUGAUCCUGUUUGGAAAUACGGUCUUUGCAGAUGGAAUCAAGUUAAGAUGAGGCCAUGCUGGGUUAAGGUAGCCUAAAUCCAUAUGACUGGUAUCCCGUAAGAGAGAAGUCUGGACACAGACACACAGAGAGGCCAUGUGACAGCGGAGGCAGAAACUAAGACCCCAUCUGUGGUCACUUGUGCAGAAGCCACAGGACACUGACAUGUCCCCCGGGCCUCUCCAAGCUUUCGCAUCAUGUGCUGCCUGAAAGCUUGGGUUGGAGGCAGCUGGGCGUCCUGAACUCGCUUCUCUCCCCCUGGGUCCUGUCAACCAUCCUUCCAACGAGCUAGGAAUGGAGCCACCGGUGGCCUGUGGAUGGAGGGCCAGCUCAGCAGCACACCGUGUCCUGUCUCCUGGGUAGAGGGUGGGCAGGAGCCACGCAGCCACUGCCGGGACGGCCGGGCAUCUCAGCUCCAGGAGCAGCAGCUUUGCCACCCACCACCUCCCUGUGGCAGACCCUCCGGCGGAGACCACCACUUCCUGAGAUGCCACUGUCCCUGUCCCUGCACCUUCUGGGCCCGACCCCAUCGCCACCCUGACCACCAGCUGUGUCACCCCCACUUCUGGGUGAGCAAUUUCUGACCUCACGUGAGGGAGGCCUGAUGUAGAAACCUCUCAUCUGUGUCCUUCCCUGGGGCCUCCUCGGGCUGGCCUGGUGGGGACCUGGUGUGGCCCACAGCACGGGUCUCCAGCAGAGGAGGCCCUGGGCCUCAGCGGUGGCCUCCCCCUCUGCCUCUCCACCCCUCCCCUCCUCUCUUCACAAGAGCACAGAGGCCCCAGCGCCCAGCGUGGACACAGAGGCUGGGUCAGGGGUCAGCAGACGGUUAUUUGACCUCCCUGGCAAUAAGGGAGUGGAGGUCUGUUGGGGCAGGGGACAUGCCUGCCCCCUUCUCCUCCCCCAGGGGCUGUGCUCCUGGAGUUACUUCACCUGCCCUUCCUGCCACCCCCACCACCCCACCCCCGGUUUUCCUGAGAACUAGUUGACAUCCAUCGCUGCAUGUUUAAGGCGUCCAGCACGAUGAUUUGAUUCACGUAUAUGCUGAAUGAUGACCACGACCUAGGUGCUCGUUCUGCCAGCGUCACGAACCUGUGCCCAGCUCCUGCCCCAUCCGUGGCUGCAGAAGACCCUGAAA